rnacentral:lncRNA from 1 species
CUCCACUGAUCAACGCUACACCACGUUGAACAGGCCCAACCAACCCACCUGAACUACAGUGCAUUGGGUCGAUUUAUUAAGAGUGAGACUAAUCACGGUGAAUCUGGUCGAUCGCCCAUAACCGCGGGCACGGCUAUUCGAAUAGUUUUACUCUGGCCAGAGGUGCACAACUGUACCCACAAGACACAACCCACCGAUAUGUCACCGCGUCAUCAUGUGCCCAUGAUGCACACGUCACCAUGUCGAGUGAUUGUGACGAGACCCUUCACAUAACCCUCCCCUAACCAUCCACACCACGCUAAGGUUUCACCCCCACCCCUCAAAAGGCAGUGGGCGGUCCCCUCUUGCGCCGCGGUGAAUCCGGCAGCUGGACAACCGGACACCCCGGCCGACCCAACUCCAUCACGCCCACCCUCGCCACCGGUGCCUAGGAAAGGGUCGAGCUAUACUUCAGAUCAAGCAGUUACCCAUUCCCGCUUGUGGCAAGCGCUGUAAGUCUUCCAGGGUUUCCCGUGAACCGGUCCUUAAUUGCCAUGGGUGCGACUCACAAAACCAUGCACCCACAGCCCACCAUUCAGUCGCAUUUUAGUUGGAUAAUUACGACCAUAAAACAUGGCCAGAUGUCUCGAGCACGCGGCUCAACAAGAUACUAGAAUGUCUAAUACUGCAAUUAUCCCAUCGACUGAGCUAGUGGUAAUUAAGCAUGGCUAAGCAUAUAGUUCUAGCUAUGUCACAUAAGUAACACAAGCUAGUCGAUUUAUCACCCAAGGUUGACAAAGGACAGAUAUCAAGUAAACAUGGCACAAGCGAGCAGAUAGGUAAACCCUGAUCCCGUGUAAUUAGCAAAACAUGCAUAUUUAUUUGCAAACAGUAAAACAUUUGUAAAUUAGGAUCAACAUGCUCAAGGGGAAUGUGUGACUUGCCUUGCUUCUCCACUUUGAUCUUCCGAACUCUUUUCCUCGCGACCGCGGACUUCCGAAACGACGGAAACUACACGCUGGCACGCAAAACGAGGAAAAACUCUAAUAGAAACCAAGGAAACAGUACAUAAAAACUAAACAAACAUGUAGAGCUCAAUUUUAGAUGAAUUUUGCAAGUUGAAUGGCUCAAUUCGGAGUUCGAAUGAAUUAGAUAUGAAUUUUAGAAGUUUUGAGCCAUUUAAAUGAAUUUCUAUAAUUAAACUCGAUUUAUUGCGCAAUUAUUAAUUAUUUUUACAAAGGAAAAGGAUCUCGCUGACGUCAGCAAGGGGCAGCCGGCGCCGACAGGCGGGCCCCGCACGUCAGCGGCACAAAGGGGCGGCGCAUGGUGGACCAAGUCCACACGUGGCCUCGGGUGCGCGUCCACCACGUGGAUGGCCCAGAUCGGCCCGAAGCCGAUCGGACGGCCACGAGGCGGCGCGGCUAGGGCACGGGCACGGCAUGAAACCGGCUCGGCCGAGCGAUAGCGCGCGACGGCGUGCGGCCAGACGACCGCCGGCGACAGCGGCGCAUCGCGGCAGCGGGCACGGGGAGCGGCGGAGGAGGAAAAAAAAAGGAGAAGGGACGGUGGGGAUUCUCACCGAGGACGGCGACGGCGAGACGACCACAGGGAGGCGGCUGGCGGCGGAAAGAGAUGGUGGCGGCCGACACGGGAGGCGACGGGAACGGCGGUCCGACGACGCCCGACCAUGGCGGAGCCGCGGCCGAGGGCCGGCAAGACCUAGGGAAAUUAUUGGAGCGGUUAGGGAGGGAAAUAGGCGACCGGAGCGGCGAGAAUACCACGCCAGAGAGGAGAGAAAUGGUGGGGCUCACCGGCGACCGAGAGAUACCCCGUUCCGGUGGGUUUCCGGCGAAGAGGGGCGGCGGCCAAGGUCCUCCUCGUCCUGGCGGAGCUGAGGGAGGCAACGGCGCGAGUCGACGUCGACCGAAGCGGCGGCGCGACGCGGCUGGAGGCGGUGAAAAGGGGCGGCGGCCUCGGGUGUGCGGUGGGAGUGGUGCUCGAGGGGUGGAGAGGGGGAAAUAAGAGGCGGCCGGACUUCCCCUUGCGGUGGCGAAGCUGGCGGUGGCGGUGGCUCGGCGCGGCGACGGCUGUGGCGGCGGGAAACGGCGACCGGAGCUCGCCGGAGUGUGGCAGCGCGUGGGUGCGGCGUGGGGAGAGCGAGGGAGAGUAUGCCGGGCUCGGGAAAAAUGGGGAAACGGACAAGGGGAGCACGGGGAUUGAUUUUAUAGCUCAAAGGGGCGAGGAGAGGGCCGGGGAGCGGCGGAUUUUGAGGGGAAGGGGGGCGGCGUCGUGGGGGAGAGAGAGACGCGGGAGGCGGCGACGUGGCCGGAUUUUGCGGGGAGAGUGGGGGGAAACGGCGCGGACGUGGGCGGCGAAGUCCCACGGACAAACGCGCGCGCGCGGGGUGGAGGAGGUGGGCGGAAACGGCGGCGACGUUGGACGGCUCGGGCGGCCAUGGCGGUUGCUGGCCCGGGCUGGAGGUUGGGGGUGACCCCGACAGGUGGGGCCCACCUGUCGGCGGCUCGGGGAGAGGAGGGAGGAUGAGGGAGGCGAAGCGGACUUGCGCGAGGAGGGGGCAAGCCGGGCCGACGGCCCAAAGAGAAGGGAGGAGGGGAAAAGGAGGGCGGCCGGGCCCGAGAGGGAGAGAAAGGAGGGGUUGGGCCGAAAGGGGCCCAAAGAGAGGAGGGAGGUUUUUAUUUGUUUUCUUUUUAUUUUAAUUGAUGCAAUGAUCUUUGUGCUAUUAAAACUAUUUCUCGAGCUCCGAAAAUUCACGGAAAAUUCCGGAGAGUACAUUAGGGCACAAAGAAUAUUACAAAAUAUUCCCGGCCAUUGAUUUUUAAGGGAAAAUUUCAAAUUCUCCCAUUAUUUUACUUGAUUAAAUUGAUUUAACUUUUAUUUAAUUUCUAGAAAAUGCAUUUAUUUAAUGAUUUUUUUAAUCCCGAACGAAAAUCGGGGCGUUACAAAUCUACCCCCCUUACAGGAAUCUCGUCCCGAGAUUCUGGGAUGGCUGGAAAGAAAGCUGGAGCUGGCGGGCGGUCUGACUGAUUUGCACACUGCACUGUUCCUUUCUGAUUCAACUGAACGAUUCCUCAAUGGUCCAAACCUGCUCGACUGAACUGACCGGCAUUGACCAUUCUGUUCCUUUGCUUUGCCAAAACUGGACCGACUCGUUUUGCUUGAACUGACCCAGGCCAGAACUACGGAUGCUCCUGAAACUUACAUCUGACCUUUGAAACUCAUUGAUCCUACGUCCGCUUGAACGGGUUCUGACUCGAGUGCCACGUAAUUCCAGGAAACCUGCUUGACCUGUCUUUCGUCUGAACUGCAACCGUCCUCGAUGCUACUUCUCUAAGCUGAACUGUUGACCCGGCCUCACGGGUGUACCUUCGAAUCGAACCUGUUGACUUGAGAUUGGGGUAACUUUGCUAGUGGCUCGCAACUGACUCCUUUAACUACUAACCACUUUGUUUCACCUCGUCGAUCCUUCGACUGAAACGGCGACGAGGUAAGCCAAAACUCAUCUCAGAGACCUACCCCCCCCCCCUUACCGUGGGUAGUCUUACUUUCGCCUGACUGAGAACCUUUGAACUGUUGUCCUUGAAAAAUAACCAACAUUUCUCGGAUUUACAGAUGCCCUGACUUUGAAGACUAAAACUUCAUCGGUCCAUCAAAUUGAAGCAAUGGCGAUGCACUUUCAUCCCGACAAGAUUUGGAACUUAACCCUUAGUUGAUGAUAGGAAAUUCCACAUAAAAGUGACUCUCAUUUAGCUCAUGAACACACUGACCCUUGACUAACUUUCCCAUAAGUACCAACUGCUGGCAUGACUGUUCUUCUUCUGACCUGACUUCGGUGUCGAGUUGCAUAGUUGAUUCCUCAAAACUGAACUGACCGACUCUACAUUGGAGCUGACACAACUUGAGGAGUUGAGGUGUUGCAAAUACAGCUGUUGAUGUGAUGACGCUGACGCCUUGCCAUUAACUCUGAUUCUGACUCUAGGCUUGCAUCCGAGCUUGUACCUGUUGUCGGUGACACUGUCGUUGCAUCUGCUGCCUCGGACUCUACGGUUGCGGUAUCAACAUCUGACACAUCCAUCAUUAGAUCUCAGCUAGCCAGGAUCUGACCAGAGCGAGGUGCUCCGACUCAGCUGGUAGCUUGUUGCCUUGAACUGAUCCACUGACUCUGACUGCAACACACUACUGCUAGAGUUGCUUCCGCUACAUUCGACCUUGCAUCGAGCUUUGCAUCUCCUGCAUCAAUACACCCAUCUUCUGAUCCUGGAUACCAAAAGCUGAUCACGAGCUGGGGUUCUUCUGGUAUUGGGAGUACCUGGUAGCUUUCAACUAAACCAUUGAUCUGUGGCUUUAAUUGACCCUAUCUCUAACACUGACCAUCUGCUGCCAGGACGGAAGAGAGGUGGAAGAGAGGGGUCGCUAAAGAUAAGGUACUAAACCACUUGCCUACUGAUCUGUUGUGAGUACACUUUUAUUGUUCAAGUUGCUUAAGCAAACAACCUAGUAUGGUCGCAUCCCCACCAAUGACGCAAACCAUACCCCUACACACAAGCAAACAACACACGAUCUAGAAUCCAACGAACUACUCUUCCGGGAAGGAUUAGGUUUAGGUGAACUUCGGGAAAACUCUUCUUGAUCUUCGCGCAACGACGACUCCGGGCUGAACUUCUUGCUCCUGCUGCACGAAGCUUGAGGCUUGACUUGACUUCCGAACAGGCAUGACGCUGGCGGUUUGUCCUCCAGGUUUGACAACUAAAGGAAUUGGAGGGGCAGGGAGGAGAAUUUUGAAAAACCGUUUGGCAAAGAAAAGCCGAAGGGCGAGGGGAGACAUUUUUCAAAUAGGGUUUUCAGAAAGCUUGUCCUUAGUGUUUGACCGUUUGGCUCAACCUACAGUCGAGUUGGCUCUGAUACCACUUUGUCACGCCCAGAAAUUUAGCCCAAAUUUCCAGACUAUUUUGUGUAUUAAAUCCCUGUCCAGGACCAGCCAGGGUACACAAAACGACAAGUAAUAUACAGUUCCAAACGUAAAUAAAGCGUAAAAUACUUACAAAAGAGGCACUUAGUCCUCGCACCGAAACGAAAACAGCAGCGGCGGAAAAAGGCGAUCCUAGCGGGGCUUCAGCUCCACUCCACAGGCAAAACUCAACUGGGGUCUGAGCCUUGGUCCUCUAACUCCAUCUUCAGCUCAGAAGCACUACACUUCUGAAAAGGGGGAAUAAUAGCAAGGCUGAGUACAACCACCGUACUCAGCAAGCCACACCAACGAUGCAGACGUGCAAGGGGAACACAAGGACGGUUUGUGGCUAUUUGCAUAAAGGCGGUUGUAAAACAUUUUAUUGAGAAAACCGUAAACGGUUGAGUAAUUAAAGUAAUAUUGAAUCUCCACUGAUCAACGCUACACCACGUUGAACAGGCCCAACCAACCCACCUGAACUACAGUGCAUUGGGUCGAUUUAUUAAGAGUGAGACUAAUCACGGUGAAUCUGGUCGAUCGCCCAUAACCGCGGGCACGGCUAUUCGAAUAGUUUUACUCUGGCCAGAGGUGCACAACUGUACCCACAAGACACAACCCACCGAUAUGUCACCGCGUCAUCAUGUGCCCAUGAUGCACACGUCACCAUGUCGAGUGAUUGUGACGAGACCCUUCACAUAACCCUCCCCUAACCAUCCACACCACGCUAAGGUUUCACCCCCACCCCUCAAAAGGCAGUGGGCGGUCCCCUCUUGCGCCGCGGUGAAUCCGGCAGCUGGACAACCGGACACCCCGGCCGACCCAAC